rnacentral:lncRNA from 1 species
AAUGGCGGGACUCCAUGGAUCUUUACAAAGUUUGAGAAUGGUAAUUUACAUGGAAAAGGGAUACAUUGAAUAUAAUGAUCACUACUCUCCCUACCAACUUUGAAAUCCACUAUGCUCUUGCCUUUGGUUAAGAAUGACGAACCAGAACUUAAAUGACUAUUCCAUACUGCUUCAAAGAUCAGGACCAGCCGAGUCAGUUACUUGCCAUAAUCCCUAAUUUU